rnacentral:rRNA from 1 species
UGCAGUCGAGCGGCAGCACGGGGAGCUUGCUCCCUGGUGGCGAGCGGCGGACGGGUGAGUAAUGCAUAGGAAUCUGCCCGGUAGUGGGGGAUAACGUGGGGAAACCCACGCUAAUACCGCAUACGUCCUACGGGAGAAAGCGGAGGAUCUUCGGACUUCGCGCUAUCGGAUGAGCCUAUGUCGGAUUAGCUAGUUGGUAAGGUAACGGCUUACCAAGGCAACGAUCCGUAGCUGGUCUGAGAGGAUGAUCAGCCACACUGGGACUGAGACACGGCCCAGACUCCUACGGGAGGCAGCAGUGGGGAAUAUUGGACAAUGGGCGAAAGCCUGAUCCAGCCAUGCCGCGUGUGUGAAGAAGGCUUUCGGGUUGUAAAGCACUUUCAGCGAGGAAGAAAGCCUCUGGGUUAAUACCCCAGAGGAAGGACAUCACUCGCAGAAGAAGCACCGGCUAACUCCGUGCCAGCAGCCGCGGUAAUACGGAGGGUGCGAGCGUUAAUCGGAAUUACUGGGCGUAAAGCGCGCGUAGGUGGCUUGGCACGCCGGUUGUGAAAGCCCCGGGCUCAACCUGGGAACUGCAUCCGGAACGGCCAGGCUAGAGUGCAGGAGAGGAAGGUAGAAUUCCCGGUGUAGCGGUGAAAUGCGUAGAGAUCGGGAGGAAUACCAGUGGCGAAGGCGGCCUUCUGGCCUGACACUGACACUGAGGUGCGAAAGCGUGGGUAGCAAACAGGAUUAGAUACCCUGGUAGUCCACGCCGUAAACGAUGUCGACUAGCCGUUGGGACCUUUAAGGACUUAGUGGCGCAGUUAACGCGAUAAGUCGACCGCCUGGGGAGUACGGCCGCAAGGUUAAAACUCAAUGAAUUGACGGGGGCCCGCACAAGCGGUGGAGCAUGUGGUUUAAUUCGAUGCAACGCGAA